AAUUAAUUAAAGGUGGCUAAAAUGAAUUGAAAAGAGCGCUCCUCUUUUCACUUUCAUUUCACGUUCGAUCACUUUCACUUUAACUACUCGUAGACCUUAAAAAAAAAAUAUUGCUUGUUUAUUGCUUUCGUGAAACCUCCACCACUGUCAUAACUUCAGCCGCUGACUGUUCGCCGCACCACCGCUCCACCGCUGUACCACCGAUCGUCGCAUAAUUUCUGAGCAUCGCACCACUCCUCUGAGUAUUUUAAGCAAGUUCCUCGUACAUAUUCUCAACAAAUGAUUGACGAGCUUAGGGAAAGGUGGAUUUCAUAUGUUACCGGAUACCAUCAACCAAAUGACGACGACGAUGAUUUAUGUGAAUUGUAGAUCAACAUGGUAUUGGUAUAUUUUGGGGCAUCAAUUUUUUUUUUUAAUCAACAUUAACUAGAAAGGUUUUUUAUAUUUAACUCACAUAUUUGUUUGUAUAGAACAAAUUUUGUAUGGAUGAUUCAAUUUAAUUGUGGUUGAAUGUUUUAAAUUAUAUAUAUGAAGUAUAUUUUGAUGGCUUUCGUCGUA